GCCAUGGAGAGUUUGAUCCUGGCUCAGAACGAACGUUGGCGGCGUGGAUUAGGCAUGCAAGUCGUGCGUGAAGCGGACCUUCGGGUCUGUGGAAAGCGGCGAACGGGUGAGUAACGCGUGGGAAACCUGUCCUUGAGUUGGGGAUAACCCUCCUAACGGAGGGCUAAUACCGAAUGAUAUGAUUUGAUCGCAUGGUCGAGUCAUCAAAGAUGGCCUCUACUUGUAAGCUGUCACUUGAGGGUGGUCCCGCGUCCCAUUAGCUUGUUGGCAGGGUAACGGCCUACCAAGGCGACGAUGGGUAGCUGGUCUGAGAGGAUGGUCAGCCACACUGGGACUGAGAUACGGCCCAGACUCCUACGGGAGGCAGCAGUCGAGAGGCUUCGGCAAUGGGGGCAACCCUGACCGAGCGACGCCGCGUGGGGGAUGAAGAUCUUUAGAUUGUAAACCCCUUUCAGUAGGGAAGAAAUGCACCGGGGUUAACACCCCCAGUGUUUGACGGUACCUGCAGAAGAAGCUCCGGCCAACUCCGUGCCAGCAGCCGCGGUAACACGGGGGGAGCAAACGUUGUUCGGAAUCACUGGGCGUAAAGGGCGCGUAGGCGGCUCGGCAAGUGAGGUGUGAAAGCCCCUGGCUCAACCAGGGAACUGCGCUUCAAACUGCCGGACUUGAGGGCAGGAGAGGAAACGGGAAUUCCCGGUGUAGCGGUGAAAUGCACUGAUAUCGGGAGGAACACCAGUGGCGAAGGCGCGUUUCUGGCCUGCUCCUGACGCUGAGGCGCGAAAGCUAGGGGAGCAAACAGGAUUAGAUACCCUGGUAGUCCUAGCCGUAAACGGUGAACACUAGGUGUGGGAGGCAUCGACCCCUCCUGUGCCGCAGCUAACGCAUUAAGUGUUCCGCCUGGGGAGUACGAUCGCAAGGUUGAAACUCAAAGGAAUUGACGGGGGCCCGCACAAGCGGUGGAGCAUGUGGUUUAAUUCGAUGCAACGCGAAGAACCUUACCGGGGUUUGACAUGUACAGGACAGAUUUAGAAAUAUUUCUUCCCUUCGGGGUCUGUGCACAGGUGCUGCAUGGCUGUCGUCAGCUCGUGUCGUGAGAUGUUGGGUUAAGUCCCGCAACGAGCGCAACCCUCGCUCUUAGUUGCCAUCAGGUAAAGCUGGGCACUCUAAGGGGACUGCCGCCGAUAAGGCGGAGGAAGGCGGGGAUGACGUCAAGUCCUCAUGGUCCUUAUGCCCCGGGCUACACACGUGCUACAAUGGCCGGUACAAUGGGUUGCAAUGCCGCGAGGUGGAGCCAAUCCCAAAAAGCCGGCCCCAGUUCGGAUUGCAGUCUGCAACUCGACUGCAUGAAGCCGGAAUCGCUAGUAAUCGCUGAUCAGCAGGCAGCGGUGAAUAUGUUCCCGGGCCUUGUACACACCGCCCGUCAAGCCACGAAAGUGGGUAGUACCCGAAGUCACUUACCCAACCCGUAAGGGAGGAAAGUGCCGAAGGUAAGACUCGUGAUUGGGGCUAAGUCGUAACAAGGUAGCCGUACCGGAAGGUGCGGCUGGAUCACCUCCUUU
rnacentral:rRNA from 1 species